rnacentral:rRNA from 1 species
CCUACGGGAGGCAGCAGUGAGGAAUAUUGGUCAAUGGGCGCGAGCCUGAACCAGCCAAGCCGCGUGAGGGAAGACGGUCCUAUGGAUUGUAAACCUCUUUUGUCGGGGAGCAAAAGACGCCACGCGUGGCGUUCCGAGAGUACCCGAAGAAAAAGCAUCGGCUAACUCCGUGCCAGCAGCCGCGGUAAUACGGGGGAUGCGAGCGUUAUCCGGAUUUAUUGGGUUUAAAGGGUGCGCAGGCGGAAGAUCAAGUCAGCGGUAAAAUUGAGAGGCUCAACCUCUUCGAGCCGUUGAAACUGGUUUACUUGAGUGAGCGAGAGGUAUGCGGAAUGCGAGGUGUAGCGGUGAAAUGCAUAGAUAUCACGCAGAACUCCGAUUGCGAAGGCAGCAUACCGGCGCUCAACUGACGCUGAUGCACGAAAGUGUGGGUAUCGAACAGGAUUAGAUACCCCAGUAGUC